AAAGCAUGGCAAGUGGUCUCCAGUGUGUCAACUUCCAUCUCAUACACCACUCCGAAGGGCCGCUGUGGAGCCGGACAGAAGGGAGAGGGAAAGUCUGACCAGUAAAGAGUAUCACACCCCCGUCUCCUGCUGGCUUCUCCAUCACCCUUUGCCAACUUCAAGUUCUGGGUGGAGAUUUGCACACACAGCAGAUGAGGUGGGACUUUGACCCAGUGUUAGAAACUCCCCAGACAGAAUGAAUACCAGAAAGGAGGACUCUUGGGGAAGCGGUGAUGGAUGAGACAGCAGCAAUGUUUGAAAGCAAAGCAUGUCUACGGACAAGAUGCAGUGUGCUCCGGGUAGUAUGGCUUUCGGCAAAGCAUGUUGGGAAGGAGACACUGUGAAGAGGGGGCUGUCCCAUCAUCGGAAACAUGAAGUUCUAACCCCAAGGCUCCCUGAGGGGAAGCAGCUUCUCCUGUCACCGUGUCACAGGGUAACUGGAUCUAAAUGAACCUCUCCACACACCCCUGAGGGCAUGACUGACAGGGCUGGGUGGAACUGGCUUGUCAAUCUGGAGAAUUUCAUGACAAAAUCCAUGACUUGGUUUCAGUUCUUUGGCAGCAACUUGUUCAGUUUAGGAUGAAAAUCUGCCUCAGCAAACACAGUGUUCAGAUUACAGUGCAGGGGCAGAGACAAGGUUGCCCAGUGGAAGGACUAACACAGUGUAUCUGCCUGGAAUGAGAGACACUAAUUACAGCUCUUUUCUCCCGUGUUGACCGAGGCAGCCUGGGUCUAGACCCACUGUCUACAGAAACACACUGUGAACUGCAAAUGUGCUUUAGCAAAUUUAGUAGUCACAUUUUGAAAAGUUUUAAAAUAAUCUUAGGUGAAUUCUAAUAGUAUAUUCUCUUUGUAAAACUGUACUUUACCCGACAUAAAAUAGUAUUAUUGUCAUAUAAUGUAAGAACCGAGAUUUUUACAUCUUACAGUUAAAUCUUCACAAUCCAGUGUAAAGAAGCAGGGGAUAUAGAUCAACUGGCAAAGCGCUUGCCUAGGAUGCACAAAGCCCUGGAGUUGACUGCCAUUACUAGUGACCUGGGCAUGGCCUGGCAGGUGGAAACCAAAGGUUCUUGCUCAAGGCUGGACUAGCGAGUUUGAGACCAGCUGGGCUACAUGAGACCCCGACUCUAAAACAAACAUCCAAUUUUGUACUUCAUUAUAGCAUCUCUUGAACCACACAUGGCCAUACCUCCCUCAGGCACUCAGUCUUCCAGGGAGACUGUCUUAUGUUAUUCUUAGCUGCUUUAAUAGGGGGCAUGUGCUUAUUAUACCAUUCAGAAGUAUUUUGUCUCUCAGUGGUCUGGGGUUUUAAUUUUUUAUUCCAUUUAUUUGCUUAUGCUGUUGGGGGAGGGUAUAUGCAAGGUUUUCUUAUGGAUAACGUGGAAGAACUGGUCCUCUCCUUCUCCGGUGUGGAUCUCAGGCAUGGAACUUAGGUAGUCAGGCUUGGCAGCAGGUGCCCAUUACCCACCGAACCAUCUUCCUGUCUGGGUCUGGGCUUUUGACAUAACAUCUACACAGGAACUGUACUGAUGCUCACUGUCUGUGACCUUAUUCAAGCCUUGAUCACAAGUACUGGUGCAAUUGUGGUGUGAAAAAUACUGGAAUUUCAGGAUGUGAACAUUAGGUAACUGUUUUUCUUUCUUAUUUCCUGGAGUCAUUGAACAUACUUGCUUUUUCAGCUCAUCACUAGAACUAAACUUUUAUUAAAAAAGAAAAUUCUUUCUACCUCC
rnacentral:lncRNA from 1 species